UUAUGUUAGUUGUGAUGUUAGCUCUAUGUGAAUUUAGUAUUAGCUCUAUGUGGAUUUAGUGUUACUGGACAUACAAUAUUACUUGGAGGAAAUCUUUAAAAGAACACUGAAGUGCUAAAUAUAUUGCCACGAAAGGGACGUAACUCUAAUUAGUUUCUCAUAAUUUUUUUUGAAGGAAAGCUAGGAGAUCGCCAACUCUAUCAUGCUGAGUGGGCAAAUCAAAUAUGUUUAAGACAUUUGAAGAUCUCAGUAAAGAAUCAUUAGCCUUGGAUGAGAAAGAAAAACAACA
rnacentral:lncRNA from 1 species